rnacentral:rRNA from 1 species
UACAGAGGGUGCGAGCGUUGUCCGGAAUCACUGGGCGUAAAGGGCGCGUAGGCGGUCUGGUAAGCGUGUGGUGAAAGCCCGGGGCUCAACCCCGGGUCGGCCGUGCGAACUGCUGGACUGGAGCAGAUCAGAGGCAGGCGGAAUUCCGGGUGUAGCGGUGGAAUGCGUAGAGAUCCGGAAGAACACCGGUGGCGAAGGCGGCCUGCUGGGAUCUUGCUGACGCUGAGGCGCGACAGCGUGGGGGAGCAAACAGG